rnacentral:lncRNA from 1 species
UUAUUCAAUGAUUUCUUUUGCCCUCAUGGUUGAUGAUAUUCUAUUCUGGAACCCGUGAUGUCAAGUGCUUCUCUAUUUUGGGACCUUUGAUGUCAAGUGCUUCUCCCUAACUGUUAGGGGAUGGGAGCUAUUAGACAUGAACACUUUGCUAUACCUAUGCCAUCAAAUUCAUCUGUACUAUGGGUUUCCUUUAUGAGUGGCGUAAAGGCGCACUUGAUUGGAGUUAAUUUUUCAAUUCUUCCAAGGUUUUCCUAAUAACACCGGCGCUUCUCCAAUUUCCCAGGAAAAUCUGCGGCCCGUUUGGUAGGUUUUGCUUAAAGAGCUUUACCAUUAAGGGCUCGAUAAGAAAGGGCUCAAAGAAUAAAACAAGUUUUCUUCUCUCGUGAUUCAAUAAAAGUAUUUGGAUCAGCAAAGAAAAAGUCAAAAACCUGCAUGGUUCUCCAGACAACGCUGUCCCUAUGAGAAUGCCCUAAAACCUGCUGUUUUUGGAUGAUUGUGUUGGUGUUUGUGGCCUAUAAAGGCCAAGAGAGCUUGUAAAAAAAUAAUAUUUAUAGUGAAUUACGUGAUUUAGUGGGAGUGUGUGUGUUGAUUGACAAGGGUCAGGCAGUUUAUGACACUAGUUACGUCCAAAACCCUUACCCCUGGGUAUCUGUCACUAUCGAGAAGGGUUCGUAGUGGGUCAUCCCUUGUUGAAGUUGGAGAGAUGCCUAAGAAUGAUGUUUGUAGGCCAGGAGAAUUAUAUGAUCUCAUGUGUGUAGUUGUAGGCCUGUAAGAGCAAGGGCCAAAGC